AAGCAUUUUGCCUGAUUCUACCAAUUUCUUGUAACUAUAUUAUUGUACAACUUUAAAGCAUGUGUACAAAUAUAUAAGCAAAGGGAAAAAAUGAC